GUGCCAGCCGCCGCGGUAAUACGUAGGGGCCUAGCGUUGUCCGGAUUUAUUGGGCGUAAAGAGCUCGUAGGCGGUUCGGUAAGUCAGCUGUGAAAUCUCCACGCUUAACGUGGAGGGGUCAGCUGAUACUGCCGUGACUCGAGUCCGGUAGGGGAGUGUGGAAUUCCCGGUGUAGCGGUGAAAUGCGCAGAUAUCGGGAGGAACACCAGUAGCGAAGGCGGCACUCUGGGCCGGUACUGACGCUGAGGAGCGAAAGCGUGGGGAGCAAACAGGAUUAGAUACCCCCGUAGUCC
rnacentral:rRNA from 1 species